rnacentral:lncRNA from 1 species
GGUUACCCAUCGUCCUUCGCGUUCAUUACAGGGACCUUGUAAACGAACCAUGGAUGAUUCUUGAAAACGAAGUGUGAAUCCCCUGCCUUCAUUUUACAUGCCUUCAACCAUCAAUAUCAAUCCUAAAGUCCAACUUAUAUCUAUAGACAUUGAGUAAAACACAUUCGACCACCAUCCUUCGUCCUUCCCUUUUCAUGCAACCCAAAACAUCAAAACAUCAAUUCUUUUUGUCUUCCCAUCGACAUCGAUACUCAACAUACAAAUUUCAAUUCUCAAAUUCAAGUCAACUUUGACUUUCUUAUGUUGAAUUUGCUUUUAACCAUCUUCAUUCUACAGGCAACAACCCUUCGAUUGUACAACUCAAAACAUCAAACCAUUGACGCCAAACCAAAUUCGACCCUUCGAAAUUGAUUUUUUAAUCAUCAACAUCAAAAUCAAUUAGCCUUCCCCCUUCAAAAUCAACAUUCAAUUCUUCGUUAUUAGCUUACCAACAUUCGAUAUCAUCGUCCAAAGUUAUCAAUCGACAUAAAAUCUAAGCUGGAAUCAACCCUUCGUAAUUAGAUUAAGACUUUCUAACCAUUUGAAAUCGGCUCCUAAGCUUGAUUCCAAGUCUUCGAACUCAAUAAAUAGUCAUCAACAUUAAACCCAAAAUCCAACAGGUGACAAUUUAUAUCGAUCCAAAAACAAAUAACCCUCAAAAUCGAUAUUGUAACGCCCGCAGAUUCUGGCUAGUCAAUUUAGAGACAAUAAGCGUCAAAAAAUGAGUUUUUGAUCGAAUAUUAUUUAGAAUUAAUAAUAUUAACAAAUUUAUAGUAUAUGUCAAAAAGGUUUCGUAGAGAUAAGGAACGUAGGAAUCCGAGUUAUAACGAAGAAGUUAUGACCCGUCGAAGUUUUACGGCUAAACCGGCACGACACCGCGUAACGUAAAAUAUGAAUUUUUGAUAAAUUAAUUUUUAGCAUUAGAGAUCUAAAUAAUGGUUGUAUUAUAUGUUAAACUAACAGCGUGCAUAAAAAGAACGUCAGAAUCUAACUGCAUAUAAGGAAGUUAUGAUUUUUCUAAGAUUUAGUAUAGCAGUGAACAACCCGGAAUUUGAAUAUUAGAUCGAUCGAUUUUUAGCCAAAAAAACCUAAAUGAGAAUUGAGGAUCUAAUUAAUAGGAGUACACCGAUAAAAAUACAGUCAAAAACAGAGUCCGUAUGUAAAAAUUAUGAAUUUUACACGGUCGUUAACAGUUUAAUCUUCUCAUAUUGUUAAAUUUAAAAUCGAUCAUGAAUUAGCCGAUGGAGUCAAAAGUAAAGUUGUAGAUCUUGUUAAUACCUAUGCGUGGAUAAAAAGAACGUCAAAAAUGGAUCUCAUAUGUGAAAGUUACGGAAUUUAGAAUUCAUAAAGGUGGUGUUGCGAAGGAGGUGACAUGACGCGAUCUGAGCCAUUGCUUUCUCCCCAACCCUUGCCACCAGAUGGUGACAUGUAGCAUCCAACUCGAUGUGUUGGAGGCCCUAACUCGAUGAGUUGAUUUGUAUUUCAGCCUAUAAAUAGCAUGCGAAGGUCUCCAUAAUUUUCACACAAAAACCUACUUCUCUCUCUCUCUCUCUCUCUCUCUCUAACUUCUCUCUAAGCCUCCGAAAACCCUCCCCAAGCCCUAGUAACUUCUAAGUGCUAGAGGAAAGCCCGGAGCACCCGAAGGCUCAAAGAAAAAGAGCUUUCCAACUCAAAAGUUUUGCCGCUGUAGAGCCCGACUCCUAGAGAAACCCCCUUGUAAGUGAGUUAUGCUUACCCUAAUUUAAGUAUAACUUAUGUUUAAGUUCAUUAUUGUUAUUACGAACCUAUAAACAAGAUUUAUCAGUAAUUCAAAGUCAUUAUAUUGAUUGAACUACUUAUGGGAGAGAUGUCUAGAAUGGUCACGUUGGGUUUGGUUGUUGUAUUUCAGAAAAGCUAAACGCCGAAAUGGCCCUGCCUCCCAACUGUCCUGCCUGGCUGAUCCUUACAUGAUAGAUCAUGACGUAGACUCUGAGUUAAUGAUGAAUCUAGAAUAAUAAUAGUCGCAAUAAAUAUUAAACUAAAUUCUAGUAAUAAUGAUACUAGGUUUCGAUGAAGGAAAAAAAAUUGUUAGAAGUGAAGCACUGUCCGAGUUUGGAAUCAUCUUUUUAACAAGUGAGUGCAUAGUUAUGUGUUAUGUGUGCAUAUUAUCUGAAGUAUUUAAUAUAAAUUACGUGUUUUAUUCGAGUUUGGAAUCAUCAUUUCAUCUUACACAUAUAUAUGAAGCAUUUAAUAUAAAUUACGUGCUAUGUGUGCAUAUUAUAUGUGUUCUUGAUAUGAAGUAUUUAAUAUAAAUUACGUGCUAUGAGUUUGGAUUUGUCACUAACCUUGUCUUGCGAUUAUGCUUUUGAAAAAUUCACAUUGAUAGGAACACAUACACCAUAAAAUCUAAGUGUCAAAAGGUUUUUCUCCGAUUCAUGAAAAUGAUGGUGAGGAAGUGUUUUCACUAAGUGAUUUUAGGUAGAUAGCAAUUGUGAUAUUUGCAUUCUCAAAGUCGUUAGUGGAGCGUGUGUGGUUAACCGGAACACUAACAUGGACUUGUGAGGAAUGGAAAAGGUCUAAACAAUUGAGACUAUGAUUAUGACAUCCCUUUUCAUAGUUUUGAAAUUGUUUAGACACACAUGUGUGCUAUCUAUGGAAAGGUGUAUGAUUUUGAUAAAGUUUUUAUCAAAGCAUCUCCUAUCAGAAGUCUGAACUUUGGUAAGAAAGUCAAUAAAGUAUUGAUUUCUAGAAGUCCAACUGAUUGCUGAGUACAUGUCAAAGCUAGUGGGAGCAUAAGUGUUAUGCUGAUAAUUCUCAUAUUAGUGGGAGCAUGAUAAUUAUGAUAAGUGUUGCAAAUUAGCAAUGUUAGUUAUAGAAAAUAAAAAGUUUCAAUUUGGAAAAGUUGUUUUGCUAUAAUUAAGGGAGAGGAAAUUGUACUUCAUUUCAAUUCUAAGAGCUUAGAUUGAGGUUUUAAUCAUCUUUAGUCAAGGAUAUAUAUCUAUAUAUNNNNNNNNNNNNNNNNNNNNNNNNNNNNNNNNNNNNNNNNNNNNNNNNNNNNNNNNNNNAGGGAGAGGAAAUUAUACUUCAUUUCAAUUCUAAAGCUUAGAUUGAGAUUUUAAUCAUCUUUAGUCAAGAAUAUAUAUAUAUGAAUUUUAUGUUGGAAUAGCUCAACAUAAGGAAAUUCUAUAUAUGGGUCCAUUAUUUGCAUUCUAAAAUUCGAUUAUGAUUACGGCAUCCCUUUUCAUAAUCUGAAUUAUAGGAACUUGGCAAAUAGAUAUAGAAAUAUUAUAGCAAAAAGACUGGUCUAUUAUCAUGUCUUUAUGUGAGACAUCAUGAAUCGUGUCCCAUAUGUUUCGGAUAUAGGAUCGAUUGCAUGUGCUAUAAUAUUUAUCCUUUCUAAAUUUUUUCCAAAAUGCCUAGUGGCAUUAAGAGGGGAAAAAAGGUCUAGAAUUGGCUAUAACUAAAAUGAUUAAGCAAUUGUCGAGGACAAUUUAAGGUUUACCAAAGAUUGGUUGCUUAAGGACAGUUAGAAGUAUGGUGUUAAUUUUGGAAGGACCAUAUUGACAUACUCUGAAAGGAGGCAACUUUUGUUCAGAAGUGAUAGUCAAAAUGGGAAUAUGGAAAUGACUCCAUAGGUGGAAGUUAUUCAGUCUGUGUAAGAUUAAAAAACUUAAUGCAAGAAGGAUGUUCAAAGCAAUGUACUUUGAAUAUGAGACUUCGUUUCCAUGGAGUUUAUCUCCAUUGGUAUACUCUGUAAUGUCUGUUGACAAGUCUUUGUGACUUUGUGCAUAAUCAUUACAGAGGAUUAGUGCAUAUAAGUUUAAAAUCUAACAAAUUUCAGUAAAUGGCAAGAAUUUGGAAUUAUUGUAUUUGCAGUAAGGAUUUGGGAUUGUGAAAUGAGAAUCAUUGGAAUUAUGUUCAAUCGAUUUAUUUCACAAAGUAAAGAUCAUAGACAAACUUAGUGUGCAUACUUGGUGUAUGGCAUAACUAAUGUUUCGAAAAACAUAGUGUGCAUACUUGGUGUAUGGCAUGACUAGUGUUUAGAAAACGUAGUGUAUAUGCUUGGAGCAUGGGACAACUAUUGUUUUAAUUCAAGUUUAAAGUUGAUAAUUUGAAACAGUAUUCAAUGAAUAAUGUGUAAUCAAUAUGGUGAUAAAUAAAAGGUGUUUUAUUUAUAUUCAUAAGUUCUGAGACCAUAUUGGAUUCGAUUAUUCUUGUGUUUCACUUUGCAUUUUUUGACUUCCAGAAUAAUUAUGUUAUGGUAUUUCAUAUUAUUCAAAUUCUCCAUAGUCGGUCAUAUGUUGGAAGUAGAUAUGAAUCAAGACUGUCAUGAGUUAGCUUGUAGAUGUCUAAGAUGUUGGACAUAGCAAGAGUUGCUACAACACUCAUGGGUGCUCAUAAGUUCUGAGUAUUGGAUUCAACCCACGCUCACUUGUAUCAAUUCAUGGAAUUUAUCUCGAGUGAUCGUGAGAAAGUAAUAUCAUAUAAGUCUUCAAACCUAGAGAUAUGAGUUAUUGCCUAUGAGUUGGUUAUACAUUGAUUGUACAAAAAAACUCAUUGGCAACUCGAUGUUAUAAAACGUGCCUUUGUGUAUGAUUUAACAAGUAGUAGAACAAGCAUAUGAGUCGAAGUUUAUAUGUUCCUUCUUGGUUUAGAAGCGAUAUCUAGGCCCCUCGAUGAUUUUGUUGUGACCUAUGUACCGGGCCCGGUCAGAACUAAAUUGAUGUGUUCAAUUAAGUCCUAUGUCAAACAAAUCGGAAAUCGAGAAACAAACUGCUGGACAAUAAGUAAGACACUGUUCCAUGUAUUUUUCUGGCUGAUAUCUAGAACAGAGGAUUAUAUGAUUCCUUGUCUAAAAUGUGCUUCAUAGUUCAACAGAGUUUUAAGAGCUACGAUUGUCGGUCGGUUCCUGAAUUCAUAAUUGAAACUAUAGUUAUUAGACUUAUCCAAGUGGGAGACUGUUGGCUAAGGUGUCUAAGUCCAUAACUAUAUUUGAGAUGUACUUCACCCGACCCGACAUGGUCCAUUUGGGUUGCCCUUCACCCGAACAAUUUAUAUGGAUAAUCUUUUGAGAAUAGUAUAAGUUAUGAUUUAUUAAUAUAUUAUAAGUUCUAAUAUAUUAAUAUGAAAUCAUAUUAUUUAAUUAGUAUUGAUCUAUAAUUAAUCUAGGAUUAAUUUAGAGAUCAAAAGUAUUACUAAUUAAAUAUGGGCUCUUAUAUUUAUAUAGUGUGGGCUAAUGCUUAUUUGGAAUGGGCUAGGCUUGCAUGGAAAGUCCAUGGAUACUCCAUGGAGCUUUAACCCAUGGAUCUCAUGGAAAUGAAGAGACAUGGGUAUUAGGGUUUACAUGGAUGUAACCCUAAUCCACCACACUAUAUAAAGGAAUCCUUGGCACUUGAAAUUGCACUAGUUUUUCUGUGCGAACUAAGGGUGGUGAUUUCUAGAAGUGUUCUACCAUUCUCUCAAGUUUCCAAGGGUUGUGGUGAUUUGUAACUUCCAUUUGAGGCAUCCACAUUAUUAGUGCUAAGCUCUCAAACUCCAAGCAAUCAACCACUACUAAAAGGUAUGUAACUCUACUAGCUUAUUAAGUUUCAAAGUUCCCCAUGCCAUGCUAGUUAGGUUAAGAACCUUGGAAAANAUUUGCAUGCUCUUAGUAAAACAUAGAUCCAAGGUUUCUAGGGUUACAUGUACACCAUAGGAGUGUUAGAAUGCUCAAAACCCUUCAGUUUAAACAAGAAGUGGGGAUCAAUUGGGCAGGAAGAUAAAGACGUUGUGAUCCGAUCGAGUAGGAGAGUAUCUUAAUAUCGAGUUCCAUGACUAUCUUAAGGAAUGUGGAAUUGUUUCACAAUUGAAGCCACCAAGGAAACCAUAGCUUAAUGGUGUGGCUGAGAGGUGUAAUAGAACCUUGCUUGACAUGUUUCGUUCCAUGAUGAGUCGAGCUUCAUUACCUAUCUCAUUUUGGGCUAUGCCUUAGAGACUGCCGCCCAUAUCCUUAAUCUAAUCCCUACCAAAAAGGUUUCCAAAACACCUCACAAGAUGUGGAUAGGGAAGGUUCCCUUGUUAGACCACAUCAAAGUUUGGGGUUGCGAGGCUUUCGUGAGACGCGAGACUCACGACACACUCGAACCUCAGAGUGAGCGAUGUGUUUUCAUCGGCUACCCACAAAAGUCCGUUGGAUAUCUCUUUUAUAGACCGAGUGACAAUGUUGUCUUCAUCGCAAGGAGAGAAGUCUUUUGUGAGUGAGAACUCAUAUGCCAAUGGGACAGUGGGAGGCAAAUUGACCUUGAAGAGCUUCAAGAGUCAAGCGGUGAAGGAACCUCAAACACUAACAAUCAACCUGAGGAGGAAACUACGGUUGAGCCAAUUGACGAAUUCGUAUGACAAUCAAGUUUGGAACUUGGUUGACAAUGUACCAGGCCGUAAGACAGUCGAGUGCAAAUGGAUCUUCAAGAAGAUGACUGACAUGGAUAGGAAAGUACACACAUAUAAAGCACGACUGGUUGCGAAGGGCUUUACUCAAACUCCGGGAGUUGACUAUGAUGAGACCUUCUCACCAGUAGCGAAGAUUAAAUAUAUAAGGGUUAUGUUGGACAUAGCUGCAUUUCAUGAUUAUGAAAUAUGUCAAAUGGAUGUCAAAACCACUUUCCUUAAUGGAAAGUUGGCAGAAGAUGUUUACAUGAGUCCACCGAAAGGUUUUUGUCAAUGCAAAGUACCCUAAUAGAGUGUGUAAGCUUGAGAAAUCCAUUUAUGGAUUGAAACACGCAUCUCGCAGAUGGAAUCUUUGCUUUUAUGAGAAAGUCAAAGAGUUUGGAUUUUCGAGAAGCGAGGAUGAGUCCUGUGUAUAUGUCAAAGCUAGUGGGUGUAUAGUGAGCUUUCUGGUAUUGUAGGAGGUUAAGUCUUGGCUUGGGAAGUGUUUUGCUAUGAAGGACCUUGGCGCAACUGCUUACAUCCCAGGGAUAAGGAUAUUGAGAAACAGGAGUAAAAGACUAAUAGGGGUCCAAUAAAGGUGAGCUACCUAUCCAAAGCAAUACUAAACUAAGUAAGACUCAGAGUCUGAGUACAGAGGCAGAGCUAGUGUAACGCCCGUAGAUCCGAGCUAGUCAAUUUAGAGUUAAUAGGGUCGAAAACAACUUUUCGACAAAUGAUUAUUUAGAAUAAAUAAUCUAAACCAAGUUGUAGAAUAUGUCUCGGGGGUUCCAUACAUAUAAAGAACGCUGAAAUCCAAGUUAUAACGAAGAAUUUAUGGCACGUCGAAGUUUUUCGGCAAAACCGGCACGACACCGGGAAACGUAAAUAGUGAAUUUAUGAUAAAAGACUUUGUAUGAGGAAGUUAUGAAUUUUCUAAGAUUUGGCAUAGUAGUGCACGACCCGAAACUCAAAUUUUAGUUGGAGCAGUUUUUGGCCUAUGCGACCUAAAUGAGAGUUAAAGAUCUCAUUAAUAGGAACUCAACGAAAAAAAUACACAAGAAAACGGAGUCUGUAUGUAGAAGUUAUGAAUUUUACACGGACAUUUAGCAGUAUAAUCUCCUCCUACUGUUAAAUUUAAGAUCAGUCGAGAAUUAGCCGACAAAGUCUAAAUGAAAGUUGUAGAUCUUGUUUUUACCUACGUGUGGAUAUAAAGAACGUCGAAAACGGAGCUCGUAUGCGAAAGCUACGGGGUUUAAAAGUCGACAGGGUGUUGUGCGAAAUCGAGUGACGUGGCUGAAUAUGGGCCAAUGCUUUCUCCCCAAGGCAAGCUACCUGGUGGUAACACCUGGCCAUGGACUCGACGAGUAGGACCCCCUACUCGACGAGUAGAGCAGGAUUCCAGCCUAUAAAUAGAGGUGUCGGGUUCCCUCAUUCUUCACACCAUUCCAACUUCUUCUCUCUCUCUCUCUCUCUCUAAACUCUCACUCUAGCCCCCAAACCCCUCCUAAAGUCUAGGUGAACCUUCUAGCACCCAAAGGAAGCCCCGAGGCUCCCGAAGCCCCAAGAAAAGAGCCUUUCAGCUCAGAAACUCUGCUCCGGCGGAGCCUGGUUUUCGAGAAAAACCCGUUGUAAGUGAGUUAUGCCAACCCUAUCUUUUAUGUAGCUUAUGUUUCAAUAUAGUAAUGUUAUUAGAACCUUAUAAUGAGUAUUUAGGCUAUUAUUAUGAGUUAUAUAAGUGUCGUAAUAAUUUCUUUUUAACCACUCGCAGUACGGGGAAUAUGGUUUAAAGGGCCGCUUGGGUUGCUGGAUUCAGAAGUGCUAUAUGCCGAAAUGAUCCUGCCCUCCGGUGUUUCAUGUCUGGCCCCUGUCUGUACAUAGUGAUUGACAAAUAUUGUUUCAUGCAUAUAUAAUAGUAAUAAUAGAAAGACUAUUAAUUAGUCACGGUGAAUAUUAGACUAAACUCUAUUGGUAAUGAUACCAGGUUUUGUCAAAGGAAAAUUAUGUUAAGAGUAAAGAAGUGUUGUCCGAGUGCUGAGUCACCACCUUUUCAAGUGAGUGCAUGGUCCCUUUUCAUCUUACACAUAGAUAUGAAGUAUUUUAUAUAAACUAUGUGCUGUGUGUGCAUAUUAUCUGUAUAAUUGCUAUCUAUGCUGGAUGAAUGAUGUUAUACAAGUUUUAUAUGAUUUAAACUGUAUAUGUAUUUAUAUCUACAUAAUAUGUUGGGUAAAACAUGGGUAGAUGAAAUAUGAGUUGGAUGAUGAGUUGAGAGGUGAUAUAGACCAUGUGGUAAGGGUGAGAGGUGGACAAUGUGAGAAGCCUUGUUCCCAAAUGUUGGCUCCGUCAUCUAGCAGAGUAUGGAUGACAAUCACGGACAAUUCUAGACAGUCCGGUGGAAUACUAGAAGGCUCGCAACCUGUAGGUGUUGUGAAUGAUGUGUUCAGCGGUGUACUCUAAAAACCCAUUGACAUGUAUUACGAGUGGACUAUCAAAAACGAUACUAUCAAUAAACGAGAUAACCCUAGCAACUGUUCCCAAAGGACAAUACCAACAGUUGCGCCUCAUUGAGAAUGUCACAAUUCUGGCAGCUGCGCCUAAGUGAUAAAACUAGCAGUUAUGCUUGACAAUUGUGUCAUUGACAACGAUGGACUUCGUACCCAUUCUUUAGGAUAAUCCUUGGGAAUGAAUGAAUGAGAAAUAGCUGAUUCUUAGGGUAGAUCGUUAAGAGUAAUGAAGAUAAUGGGGAUGGGUAAUUGGGUUAACUGUUUGAUGAUUAAACAUAAUAAUUAUAUUAUUAUGGGUUGAAAACCCUAUGCACUCACCAGGUUUCACAACCUGACCCACUCAGUUUAUUUAUAUCACAGGUGUUGAUAUGAAGUCACAUUACACUGAGAGAUUAAGGAGAUAUAAAUCACUAGUGNCUGUCUGUACAUAGUGAUUGACAAAUAUUGUUUCAUGCAUAUAUAAUAGUAAUAAUAGAAAGACUAUUAAUUAGUCACGGUGAAUAUUAGACUAAACUCUAUUGGUAAUGAUACCAGGUUUUGUCAAAGGAAAAUUAUGUUAAGAGUAAAGAAGUGUUGUCCGAGUGCUGAGUCACCACCUUUUCAAGUGAGUGCAUGGUCCCUUUUCAUCUUACACAUAGAUAUGAAGUAUUUUAUAUAAACUAUGUGCUGUGUGUGCAUAUUAUCUGUAUAAUUGCUAUCUAUGCUGGAUGAAUGAUGUUAUACAAGUUUUAUAUGAUUUAAACUGUAUAUGUAUUUAUAUCUACAUAAUAUGUUGGGUAAAACAUGGGUAGAUGAAAUAUGAGUUGGAUGAUGAGUUGAGAGGUGAUAUAGACCAUGUGGUAAGGGUGAGAGGUGGACAAUGUGAGAAGCCUUGUUCCCAAAUGUUGGCUCCGUCAUCUAGCAGAGUAUGGAUGACAAUCACGGACAAUUCUAGACAGUCCGGUGGAAUACUAGAAGGCUCGCAACCUGUAGGUGUUGUGAAUGAUGUGUUCAGCGGUGUACUCUAAAAACCCAUUGACAUGUAUUACGAGUGGACUAUCAAAAACGAUACUAUCAAUAAACGAGAUAACCCUAGCAACUGUUCCCAAAGGACAAUACCAACAGUUGCGCCUCAUUGAGAAUGUCACAAUUCUGGCAGCUGCGCCUAAGUGAUAAAACUAGCAGUUAUGCUUGACAAUUGUGUCAUUGACAACGAUGGACUUCGUACCCAUUCUUUAGGAUAAUCCUUGGGAAUGAAUGAAUGAGAAAUAGCUGAUUCUUAGGGUAGAUCGUUAAGAGUAAUGAAGAUAAUGGGGAUGGGUAAUUGGGUUAACUGUUUGAUGAUUAAACAUAAUAAUUAUAUUAUUAUGGGUUGAAAACCCUAUGCACUCACCAGGUUUCACAACCUGACCCACUCAGUUUAUUUAUAUCACAGGUGUUGAUAUGAAGUCACAUUACACUGAGAGAUUAAGGAGAUAUAAAUCACUAGUGAUAACGAAUUAUGCUUAUGUUUCUUUAUUGACGAUGACAUCCCAAUGUUUUAAAAUGAAUAAAAUACAUUUCUUCGUAAAUGCUUUGAUAAUGUAUUUAUCAUGUUUUUCUGGGAACAAAUUCCGCAACUAUUUUCUUUAAAAGGUUACUCUGAUUUUCAAAGUAAAGCAUAAACAAAUCGGUCUUUUCUGUCCAUGAAAACGGGAUGUCACAGAUAGCAGAGAUGAGUCGAAUGCCAUAUGCUUCUGCAGUUGGCUCGAUCAUGUAUGCUAUGACUUGUACUCGCCCUAAUGUGGCCUUUGCUUUGAUCAUGGUCAUCAAAUAUCAAGGGAAUCUAGGUAAAGGUCAUUGGAUUGCAGUUAAGAACAUUCUUAAGUACUUGCGGAGGACUAAGGACUGGGUCCUUACCCUCGGUGGGAGUGAUGACUUGAGAGUGACGGGGUAUAGUGAUGUCAGUUUUCAAACCGAUAGAGAUAAUUUCCGCUCUCAGUUGAGCUGGGUAUUUACCCUGAAUGGAGGAGCAGUGACAUGGAAAAGUUCCAAGUAGGAGACUGUAGCUGAUUCAACGUGCGAGUCAGAUUACAUAGCAGCAAGCGAAGCAUCGAAGCAGGCGAUAUGGUUGAAAAACUUCAUCGAAGACCUUGGAGUCAUACCAUCCAUACAGGAUCCUAUAGAGAUUUUCUGCGAUAAUGAAGGCGCGGUUGCCUUAACCAAGGAACCGAAAGAUCAUGGUAGAUCCAUGCAUAGUAGGGUUAAGCACCUGCAGCAUGCAAGGGGCAUUGGGCUAAUGGACGAUAUUAGUUUUAGUGGUUAGAUAAAUAGAAACUUAUAAUAGCUAAAUAGUAAUUAAUAUUUGAUGAUUAAAUAAAAGAAGUUUUAUUUAUAAGUAAAGUUACUGUCUUGUGUCAAUUAUAUACUAUUGUUUCACUUUGCGUGUUUUGACUUCCAGAAUAAUAAUAUUAUUCAAACCAUCCACAGUCGAUCAUACUUUGGAAGUAGGUAAUGAGGCUAGACUGUCAUGAGUUGGCUUGUAGAUUGUCUAAGGUGUUAGACAUAGCAAAAGUUUGCUACACCAUUCAUGAGUGCCCCUAAAAUAAGAUUUGAGUAUUGGAUUCAACCCGCGCUCACCUGAAUUACUUCAUGGAAUUUAUCUUGAGUAAUUGUGAGACGAUAAUAUCAUAUAAUCUUCAAACCAAGAUAUAUGAGUUAUUGACUACGAGUUGGUUGUGUAUUGAUGGCAUGAAAACGCAUCAGUAAAUUGAUGUUAUAAAACGUGUCGUUGUGCAUGAUUUGAUGAGUAGUUAGUACAAGCAUAUAAUGUCGAAGUUUAUAUGUUCCUUUUAUCCUAUGAGGAUUAAAAGCGAUAUCUUGGGCCCCUCGAUGAUUCUGUAAUGGCUAUGUGUCGGGCCCGAUCAGAACUAAAUUGAUGUGUUUAGUUAUGUUCUAUGUCAGACGAAUCAGAAAUCGGGAAACAAAUUGCAGGAAAAUAAGUAUAACUAUGUUCCAUGUAUUUGUCCGCAUAGAUAUCUUGAGAACAGAGGAGUAUAUGUUCCCUUAUCUGAAGGACGUGUCACUAACUAGGUCAGAGUUCGACAAAGGCUUUUGAAAGCUUACGAUUGUUAAGUCGGAUCCUGAAGUUGUUGGGUUUUGAGCAUUAUAACACUCCUAAGUAUACAUGAAACCCUAAAUACCUUGGAUCUAUGUUUUCUCUAUUAUACAUACAAAUAUGAACAUCCAAGGUAUUAUCCUAAUCUAGCAUAUAAAAUAAUGAAUAUAACAAGAUAGAAUACAUACCUCUCUCAUGUAGAAAGUCUUCAUGAAGCUUGAGUGCCAAGUGCCCCAAGUGUGACACCUCAAAUGGUUCACACAACACCAAAUACACUUGGAAUAACUUGAGAGAAUUCUACACUUCAUGAAAAUCGGCUAGCCCUCUCUAGAUCAUACUCUAGUGGCUGAUUUUGGUCAAGAAUAAGAUCUUUAUAUAGUGUUACAAUUAGGGUAAACCCUAAUUGUCAUGACUUUCCAUUUCCUUGGAUCCAUGGGUUCAAAUACACCAUGGAGCAUCCAUGGACCAUCCUAUGGGUUUUAGCCCAACUUGAUUAUCCAUGGAGCAUUAGCCCACUAUACAAGUAUGGAUGAUUUACACAAUCAACCCAUAUAUUUAAUUAGUCUUCUUUUGAUCACUUAAUUAAUCCUAGAUUAAUUCUUGAUCAAUACUAAUUAAAUAAUCUUAUUAUUCUUAUUAUUAAUAUACUAGAACUUAUAAUAUAUUAAUAACCAUAAGUGUCUUAUUUCUCUCAUUANCUUACGAUUUCUAAGUUGGAUCCUCAAGUCAAAUUGGCAAUUAUAGUUAUUAGACUUAUUCAAGUGGGAGACUGUUGGAUUUGGUGUCUAAGCCCAUAACUAUAACCGGGAUGUACUUGACCCGAUUGUAGCAUGGUCCUUUUGGGUUGCCUUCACCAGGGCAAUUUGAUAGGAUGGACUCUUGAGAAUAAGGUUAUUUAUGAUUUAUUAAUAUAUUAUAAGUCAAUUAUAUUAAUAUGAAAUUAUAUUAUUUAAUUAGUAUUGAUCAAGAAUUAAUUUGGAAUUAAUUUUGUGGUCAAAAGAGACUAAUUAAAUAUAUUGAGAUUGAUUAUGUAAAUCAAUGAUUCUUAUAGUGUGGGCUAAUGAUCCAUGAUAAUUUAGAUGGGCUAAACCAAUGAGAUAAUCCAUGGAUAGUCCAUGGUGGUUAAAACCAUGGAGCAUAAGAAUGUGAAAGGUCAUGGAGCAUUAAGGUUUGCAUGAAUGUAACACUAUCUUAGCAACACUAUAAAAGCACAUCCCUAGAACCAAAAUUGGUUACACCAUCAUUCUAAGAAGUUUGAUAUUGAUUUUGAGCUAAGUAACUUAUUCUCUCAAGCCUCCUCUUGCAUAUUGGUUUUUGUGAACCAUUAGAGGCAUCACACUUGGGGUGCUCAAGCUUUCAAAGGUCAAGAACUACAAGUCCUUCUAAGAGGUAAGUCAUCUAACUAGUUGUAUUGUUCAUUGUUCAAUUGUAUGCUAGUUAGGGAGAAUGCUUUGGAAAAAUUGAAAAUGCAUGUAUAAUUAGAGAAAACAUACAUCCAAAGCACUUAGUGUUAUAGUGCUCAAAACCCAACAAAGAGUUAGUUUCUCUCAAGGAUGUUAACAGGAAAUGUUCAGGCUGUCGUUUCAUCGUUGGAUCAGAUUUAUGAGUAUUGGUCAACAUGGUUGAGGUUCGAGUGUCUGGAAGUUAGGCAUAGUUACAGAGUCUUCAGAUUAUGGAUAAGGAAGUUAGGUCUUCUCGAUCUGGUUUAGUUGUAAAGUGUUAGUGUUGCCUCUUUGUCGGGUCUCACGUUUCCAACCAAGGAUUAAGUUGGCUUUUGGGAUUGAAGGGAAGUGUCUGUUUUGAUCAAUUUCCCAGUGUUGUGAUGGUCAUGAAUUCGACAUUUGGGAAUUCCGCUAGGGUUUGUCUUAUUUGCUUGGUUUUAGAAAUCCUUAUGACUGUGGCGGAAGUUUCAAGCAUUCAGGGUGGGGUCGAUUGAAAAAACCAUAAGGGGUUCGGAGUGUGUUUUAAGAGUAAUUUGUAAGGACAAAUUUCGAGGAAAAAGUCUAAUUUAUGCAGGGGAGAUUUGUAAUACCCUUUUUCUAGAAUGGUUUAGCCAAAGAGUUAACAAGAUCAAAGAUGGUGUUUUUGUAGAAAACCCUAAGCCGCAACGUAGUGCAAAGAUGAACACGACAUGGAAUGGGUUUUAUGGAAUACACAUUUUAGGAGAGCACCACAACAUGACAAGAAUGUUGCCAUGACAUGACGAGUGCUGGAGCCCAAGCUUAUGAUUUUUAGGGUUUCACCCAUAUUUUUAAAGGCCUUAACUCUAAGGUUAGCUCAUUUCCCUCGGCCUCCAUUCUCCUAUUUUGAAACCUUAGCCCCAUUUGAGUGUUCUUGAUGAGCUCUUUGAAUUCUUGAAGUUUGAAGCCUUGGUUUGUACUUUGUGAAGAAGAAGAAGAAGGCGUGCUUGCUAGUUAGAAGAGUGUAUCUACUUCAGAUCUUGCAUCUCCUGAAUCUCGUGGAGCUUGGGAAGGUAUAAAGCCUCCACAUGUAUCAUCCUUUUCCAUUAUUUCAUGCCAUGAAGUCCCUUGAUGGAGUGUUCUUUGAGUUUUGGUCAACUCCUGAACCUUAGGCUUGUUUGGUGACCAUUUUUUUGGUCAUAUGUGAUGGAAAAAGUAUUAAGUCUUUGUCCCCUUUGCUCUAUGAUCAAGUUGAGGUCUUAUUAAGGGUUUUAUGGACUUAGGAUUUUAUAUUUUGUCUUGUGGUGAGGUCCUAAUGGAUAAAGUUGGAAACUUUAUCCAUUAAGUCACUAAGAAGAACUAAAUAUGGAAGUUUGAGCUUUGGUAUGUAAGAAUUAAGCUCUUAAUGACAAAAUGGCUUCUGGCAAUAGCCACAACAUGGAGAAGAGGUCUCCAUGUUGUGGAAUAGGUUCAGUCUCACGACUGUUUUGUAUGGACAUUCCCACGACGUGGCCAAGAGGUUAUCAUGUCGUGGUGACAGUUGACCUGAUUGAUCGUUGAUUCCUGACCUGUUUGACUUGGGGCCAAAGUUAGAGGAUUUGGAUUGUUGAUUGAGGAUUUAUCUCCUUUGGUGUUAGUUUGUUUGAUUGAGCAUAAAUAUUUUUUGCCGAUAGCAAACCACAACUUUCGAAUCUGGUACCGCUGCUUUCAGAUAUGGAACCAACAUCUUUAGAUCUAGAACCAUCAGCUUCAGAUUUGGAACCAUCGCCUUCAGAUCUGCAACCAACACUUCUAGAUCUAGGGAUGAGAUUUAGAACCAGAAAACCGAACUGGAAUCGGAAUCGGACCGGAACCGGAACCGCUAGAACCAUAAUAUAUUGAACCAUUUCCGGUUCCGGGUUUAAAAAUUGGGUUUAUCCGGGUUCCGGGUAAUCUGGGUUUGCGUCCAUCGGUUCCAGGUAAACCAGGUCUAAAAACCGGAACCGUUGUUAGGAACCAGAACCACUUUUAGGGUCGGAACCGAUUUUUGUGAAACGUUUAAAAGAUGCAUAUCUCAUUCGUUUAAACUCCGAUUGACAUGUGGUUUUUUCUAAUGUGUAGCUUAGAGUUUGUACAUGAUUUUAAACAAUAAAUUUUUCAUUUUUAGUUUUAUAUUCAUUGACUUACAGUCCCCCAAAGUUGAGAUAUUAAAGCUGAAAGUUUAUGGUUUUUCAGUUUUUUUUUUUUUGUAUUCUGUGAAAGUUUUAAAACAUGCAUAUCUAAUUCAUUUGAAGUCGAAUUGAUAUGUGGAUUUUUCCAAAUUGUAUUUUAGAGUUUGUACAUGAUUUUUGGACUAUAAUUUUGUCAUUUCUGGUUUAAUAUUCAAUGAUUUAUAGUCCCCCGAAGUCGGGAUAUCAAAACUGAAAAUUUUCAACUUUUCAGCUAUUUGUUUUUGUAGUUUGUAUUAUGUGAAAAUGUUAACAGAUGCAUAUCUCAUUCGUUUAAAGUCGGAUUGACAUGCAAUUUUUUCCAGUGUGUAGUUUAAAGUUUGUACAUGAUUUUAGACUAUAAUUUUGUAAAUCUUGGUUUCAUAUUCAAUGAGUUACAGUCCCCUAAAGUCGGAAUAUCAAUAUGAAAAUUUUCAAAGUUCAACCCACUAAGUAGUAAGUAAUUGCCAAAAAAUUCCGGUUUUUUCUGGUUUUCCGGUUCUAAGCUCACUUUAUCCGGUUCCACCCUAUCCACUUUGAUGUCCGGGUCUUCCGGUUCAAGACCCACUUUACCCGGAACUGAACCGGAACCGGUUCCUAUAUACCGGUCCGGUUUCCGGUUCUACAAAAUCCCGUUAACCGGUUCUAGGUUUUCCGGGGCCGGGUCCAUUCGGUCCGGGUUUGGACCCACUUUCAUCCCUAUCUAGAUCUAUGAUUUUCCGUUGUCACUAUAUAAUAUGAUCAUAUAUGUUGUUUUUGAUGCGAUUUCCUUAGAUCUAAUACCGUCAUCAUCACCGUCGUCGACCGCUACAUGUCAACGAAUGUUGCCACUGGCCGUACAACUUCCCUCGGAAUGUCGAUUCAGAAACAUUUUUUGCUUUAGGAGUAGUUUUGUAAGAUGAUAAUUAUUAAUAAAAUUAAAACAAACCAAAUUAAUAUUACCGUUUUGGUGUAUUAAGAAUUAAAAUUUAUUUUUAUCUAUUUCAAUAUUUUAAUUUUUAGAAGUGUCUAACUCUUCUUAUAUCAAACUAUAUAUAAAAAAGUUAGCUUAUUGUGUGUAUUUUGUACAUGGUAGUUUUAUUCUAUCAAUGACAAGUAACAGUAACAAUUAGAAAGAUUAUAUGAUGUAAAAUGAUGAUGAAAAUAGUUCAAAACAAUUACUAUGUUUUUUCCCCUUAAAAUCACAUUUAAUAUUUUUCUUAAAAUUAAACACCUUUUCUUGAAAGAGAGUUAUCUUGAUGGAAAUUGCAAAAUGAAAGAAAUAAUACAUCACUUAGGCUUUGCUUGGCGUACUAGCUAAAAAGCUGGCUGAUAGCUGAAAAACUAGCUGUUAAAUAAAAAGCUAGCUGAUAGCUGAAAAGCUAACUGAUAAAAAAUGACGUUUGGUAAAACUAGCUGAAAAGCUAGCUGAAAUAUAUAAAAUUACAUAAAAGGACAUGUGAGAGUAUGUGUUUCUAUAAUUAAUUAAGGGGUAUAUUUGGAAAUUUUUAAAAAAGCUCCUAAAAAGCUAGUCUAAGUAGCUUUUCAAAAAGCUAGCUUAUAAGCUACUUUUUGGCUUACCAAACACGACAACAUAAAAAAGCUCAAAAAAUAAGCUAGCUUAUCAGCUAGCUGUAGCGCGCCAAACACAACCUAAAUGUGAGGUUCCACCAAAUCAUGAACAACCUUAUAUGAGAUUCCUUUCUUUUGGAAAGAUUUGGGUGUGGUCCAAUGGUUUGACAUGAAAAGCAUUAUCAUAUUUCUUUUUAUGUAUCUUCCUUUUUGUUAUAAAAUUGUAGUAAUUGAAAGUUAAGUAAUCAUAGAAUCUUACUUUAUUAAAAGUAAGUUCCCACCCAAUUUCCCUGUCUUUCUUUUAAUUUUUCACUCUUUAUAAAUUACCUCACAUAUUCACUACUCAAAAACAAGUUAGAAACUGUGUGUUUUAUAGAAGAGAAUCAGUAAUAAUAAGUAUAUGUGCCCCCGCCACCUUUCCAACGUUGAAAAUACAUAGAGCAAAUCGACAUGCUUUCUCAUUGUCACAAGUUGUAAAUCUAACUUGUAAGUAUGUAAAAGCACCUCAUAAUAUAAUUAUUUAUGAGUUAAUGUACACUAUGUUAAUGCCAUUAAAGUCUUUGAUUUUGUGUACGUUUAUUCUUACUAGGAAAAGGAAAAGCUUUUAUGAAAAAGAUUAUAAUAACAAGUAUAAAAUAUGAUAUGAAAUUGCAUUGCAUUGUAUUUUUUUUAAAAUUAUUUUAAUAGCUAGUCAAUAUAUUACAAAUUAUAUAAUGCCACUACACUAUAGACAUCGAAAGUGAAACAAUGAGAAACAUUUUCUGGACAACAUAACCUUAAUUUUUCAUUAGAAGUGUUAGAUAUUUUCAAAAUUAAAUAAAUUAUUAUGUAUAAAUACCCUUCUCUAUCUGAAAAAACCAUACAUUAUGUAUAAAUAAAUAUAUAUAUUUUUAAAAAACAUUUUCGACAUAAAAAGAAACGCUAAAAAGUAGAAUCUAUUCACGUGUUUGGUUCUACAAAGGGAAUUUAAUCCCCACUCAUCUGAGAUACACUGCACUUCAUCUUCAUCUGCUUUCCUUUCUCCCUCUUCAUCUACACUUCCUUUGCCGGCGAACAAUCUCUCUUCUGAAAGCCCACCAACUUAACUUCGCCACCGAUGCACCAAACGUCCUCAUCAGCAGCCUCUGUGGAAGCAUUUUAUAUGAAGAAUCAGUGUUGUCGAUAACUGUGUCCAGAUUGCAAUUGAUCAAACGCGUGGUGGACAAGGUUGCAGGAAGAACACAUGGGGAAAAAAAGGAGAUCCGGGUCUCCGCUCUCCGGUCACCACUCACAAGUAAGAUCGAUUAAUAUUUGGCCGGAAACCGACCGGUCUUGUUUAUAUUUCUAAUCAAUUUUCUUUCUUGCGUCAACUCAUGGUUAGGCCGUUCGAUGAUCAUGGUUGAACCUGUAUUUUUUUGUUAAUUUAUCUGUCCAUGACCUGUUGAUCAACAAUUAGGAAAAGAGUAUUAUAAUUUAGUCAUGGUUUUAUAUAUUAGUAGUAGAUCUUUAAAUUUGCAUUUCUUGUUGACUCUUUUGGAAAAAAUCAAGUAAAAACUUUUCUCUUAAUUGCUCUUAUAUCGAUUAUAUUUACUUUUUGUUGUAUGUAUGUCUACUAAUUACUAAUUGAUCACUAACUAUAUUAUAAAUUUUGAUGUACACAUUUUUUACAAUAAUCGAAGAGAGGAAUAAUUACUUAUUGAUCACUAACGAUUAGGUUUUAUUUGUAUUCUAUAGAUUAUAUAUCAAAUAUCUACUAAAUAAUACAAUAUACAAAGGUUUUCAUAAUAAUUUAACAGAGAGAUAAAAAGCUUUUCGUAUUUGGAAAUACCACUUUAAGCUUUUGUUUUCAAGAUAAAACGUCAUCAUCAUCCAUGUUUUUUUGUCAAAAGACCAUACUACCCUUCUUUUAAUAAAACCUUGUACUCCUUUUUAUCUUUUGUUGUAGAGAAACUCAUUUUAUUUUUUUACCAAAGACCACAUGAUUGACUUUGUUCCUAAAAAGAAAACAUCUUACUUUUUAAUUACUAAAUCUCGAUUGGUUUUAAUCUUCAGAGUUUUCAUCUUCUUAAGUUGCAUUAUUUCGAUUGUUGCAGCCUAAUCAUCAUCUUAAACUUAUUAUUAUUCUUUUGAUAUCCCACAAUUAGUGUUAACAUAUGGACAUAUGAUCAUGAUAUAUUGUGGUACAUGAAAUAUGUUGUCCAAAAAUUCACUAUAAUAGAAAAAUAAAAAAUUUAUUUUUGAAUAAUUUGAUAAGUAGUUUUAUAUAAUCAAUCUCCAAAUUUCAACAUAAAUAAUAAUAAUAAUAAAUAAUUAUUAUCGUUUCCAUGAUUUUGAAUGUAUGUUACAUAAAAGGAAGGAAAGGUGAACAUUUUUUUUUGUCUAUUUGUUGUUUAUAAAAAUAAAUGAUGUUAUUGCAUGAAAAGGAAAUAAUAGUUCACUUAAUUUCUUGUAAUAAAUAUAUUUUUUGUUACUUUUUCCAUUAAACACUUUCACAUUGUUGAAGUGACGAAGGAAGUUGUAAGGAAGGUUCCACAAAACUAGACUUGGCAAUCUAUGUCUGCGUGUCGUGUAUUCGUGUCACACAUGAAUUUACACGACAUGAAUUUGUUAAACACGAACACAACACGAAUUAUAAAACGUGUUUGGGGUAUCAAACACGAACACGACAUGUAAAAAAUUCGUGUGACACGUGACACCACACGAAUAGACACGUUUUUAAUGGCUUUUUUUUAAAGUUAGGGAUAUAAACUAAUUAUUGAGUUUUAUGAAAUUGUUCCCUAAUAUAUUAUAAAUAUAAAAUUUAACCCUAAUAUAUAUAUAUAUAUAUAUAUAUAUAUAUAUGUGUGUGUGUGUGUGAAUAUNAUAUAUAUGUGUGUGUGUGUGUGUGUGUAUCACAUGUCAACAUGAAUUUGUAUCGUGUCUAAACGUGUAAAUUUGUGUUUGACACGUGUAAGACACGAAACAUGAAUUUAAAAUGUGUCAGAUACGAAUAAACACGAAACAUGAAUUUCUAAAACACAUACACGAAAAACUCGUAUCGUGUUAAUCGUGUCAUGUAGCAAAUUGUCAGGUCUACACGAAACUUCAUGGUCAUCCUUUAUACUUUAUAUAAAGUCUAUUCCUCUAUAUAUUCACUAUCAUCAAGAACUAGACACCAUAUCCAAAACAAAUUAGAAGAGAAUCAAUGGCAUCUCCUAAUUUCCUAAUCUUCUAUCUCAUCUUGUAACUUUCUCUCUUUUUCUCUCUAGCUUUUACUCUUAUUGGCAUUUGAUAAAAUAUAAAUUUUGAAAAUUGAAUCACUUGUGAAGUUUCUUGGAGUUAAUCCUCAAAAUAAGAACUUACAAGUAGAGUGUGUGCAUGAAGCUUUCUUUACACAGAAGUUAACUUCGAUAACACGGCUAUGAAAUUACCAUAUAUUAAUCCAAAAUGUAGAUUACAUUUUAACAUACCCCUUAAUCUAGGCUUGAGUUACUUCUUCCUUUGUCCUCAAAUCUUGGAUGUUUAAUACUUUUAAUGAUUGUACGUUUGUUUUGUGAUUUCUUCAUGUGUACUCCUUUGCAACACAAGGUGAAAAACCUAUCAUAUACACCGUUCCAUUUGUUCUUUUGUUUAUCUUCUUUGAUUCUAUAUUUUUCUUUUUCACAAAUAUCUUCUCUUCCUUCUUUUAGUGUUUAAUUUCAACCAUCAUCCUUAUCCACCUGUUUAACAUUAACGAAAGAACGAAAGUAGCCACAUGUGACCAUUCCAUUGACACCCUAUAACCCUUCUUGAAAACUGGAUAAAGAUAAAAUAAAAUAAAAUAAAACUUUUUUCAUGCAUUGACUUUAAUCCUUCUUAGAACUCAUACAUCCCUUUCAGAAUAGAAAUCUGAUUCAUUUACUAUCGUUUGAUAUCAUGACGUUUCUUUCCUUCACUUUUGUAAGUACCCACGUGAUCAACCUUCUCUUCCCCUUUUCAAACAAUUUGUCUUCUUUUGAGUUAUUGUUGGUUCGUAUAUCACUCUUUAUUUAUUGAAAUCAAUAUCCAUUAAACCAUACCUUGAAGACCGUUCCUUUUCUUGACCAAAUAUUUUUGUAAGCUUGUAGAAUCAAUUCUCCAAAAUCCUUUCCUUAAUUCCUUAAGCUGGUCGGUGUGGUAAACGCCCACAUCGGCGUUUUUAGAUAAAAACAAAGAAACAGAGUUAAAUGAAGGUGGUGGUGGCAACGGGAAGCAACAACAGAUGUAUAACGUCCAAAAACGGUAAAGGGGGCGGUUUUUGUGUGUUAUAACGCCCACAGGGCGUUGCCCAUACCCAACAUCAUUAUCUUCACUUGGUUUUAUUUCAUCAUAGCUUUAGUGCAAAUAAAGCUUUGUCGUUAUUUGUUGUUACACUUUUCCCAUAUUCCUUAUUAAAAAUCUAUAUAUUAAUUUUGAGAUAGUUUUAUUAAUUUAAAAUGUAUUUUAUUUUUAGGAUAGUUUUGUUGAUUUUAGGACUUUAUCCGCUACAAGAAAAAACGAUUAUUAGCGGCGACAAAAAAUCAUCGCAAAGAGUUUGCUUAGUCACCGACAAAAGUAAUAACGGAGACAAGUCGUUGCUACUGUCCCUUGUUAUUGAUCAAAAUGUCGCCGCUAAAGCUUAUUGUCGCCAUUAGUAGAUCCAAAUGAGAUGUACUUCCAAUUAGUUUAAACCAAGAUAUACUUGUCGUGCUUCGCCACAUAUAUAGAUAUGGACAGAGAAAAAGGACGAAAGUUAUACUUAUCCUUAACAUAUGUGCGUGUGUGUGUGAACAUAAUGUUGAAAUGUAAAACUCAUUUAUCUAAAUAUUUGAUUUCCCUAGCAUUAUGUGUGCUCCUUCUAUCUCCCCCGACAUCUACCAAUUAUAUUAGUUAAUUAUCAUUUUAAACCAAAUAAGUAUUAGGCUAGCGGUAUCAAGAAUUGACUGAUAGGUGUUUAUCGGUAUCGGUAAAAAAAAAGUGAGGGUUCAAGCCUCGAGUUGGGAUGAUAUGUGUUGAUAUAAGAGUAGAACAGCGAGUGCAUGUGUAAACCGUUAAAAUAAUUAAUUUUCAUUUUAAUCUCAAUUUAUGUCAAUUAAUUAUUUAACGUUAUGUAUUUUAUUGACAUUUAUCUUCCUUUGUUUUUGGUCCUUACUAGUUUAAUGUCCAUGAGUCCAUCGCCAAUUCUUUACAACAACUUUAGACUUCAAAUACUACAAAAUGUCAUAUCUACUUUUAACUUUCAUAUAUCAUUUUUGACACUAACAGAGUGUUAAUGCUCUUUUUUAUUAUUCGAUAUAAUAAAUAUUUUUAUUAUUUAAUCAUAAUCUUUUUUCGUUAUUACUAUAUUGGUAUAUUUCCCACGGUACGUUUCAACUUUGCCGGUGGUGCUUCCAUGAAAUUUAGAUCUCAAUACUAAAUACUAUCUUGUAUACCAAAUCUCAACGGUAUGUUAUAUGAUAUAUGUUAAGUCCCCAUUUUGUAAGUUAGACAAGAUAAAAUAUAAUAGGUCGACUAUAUGUAUGAUUUGACGAGGAUUGGGACCUAUGCCAUUGUGACAUAAAAAGCCAAGAAAACUUGUCCAUUCUCGUGUAAUAAUUAUAACCUAAUGUUAUGCUAGAAGUACAAUAAACAAAAAGAAUAGAUGUAAUACAAACGAAAUUGAAUUAGAUGUAAUAUACAAGAAUCAAUUCAUAAGAAAAACGUACUUGAGUGUAGAUUACAACAUAUUACAAACUCGAAUUUGUGUAGAGAGUGAAGCAUGCGAAGUUGCAGUGUCCUAAGACAUGAAUUCUUCUAACAGGGAUCUAUCUAGAGGAUACAACAAUCUAAUCAAUAUAGGAUCUUGAUUUUGAUGAAAUUCAGUAACUUCCCUUCAUUAAUGUAGAAUCCGAAAAUAUAGGAAGAAUAUGUGAGUGUUUGUCUAAUCCUUAAAUGUGAUAUUUGAUGAUGUAUUUAUAGGUUUCAUAUUGGCAGUUAAUCAAUUCCAACCAACACACCCGUUCAAAACCAAAAUUAACUGCUAAUUAACUAUCUAAUAAUUACUUAACAAUUAACAUAUUUAAUAAUUAAAUAAAAUUCGGAAUUAAUACAUAAUAAUAUUAAUAAUCAAUGAUACCACAACAACCAUACGCCCAUGGCUAAUCUUUUUAAUAUAUAUAUAUAUAUAUAUAUNNNNNNNNNNNNNNNNNNNNNNNNNNNNNNNNNNNNNNNNNNNNNNNNNNNNNNNNNNNNNNNNNNNNNNNNNNNNNNNNNNNNNNNNNNNNNNNNNNNNNNNNNNNNNNNNNNNNNNNNNNNNNNNNNNNNNNNNNNNNNNNNNNNNNNNNNNNNNNNNNNNNNNNNNNNNNNNNNNNNNNNNNNNNNNNNNNNNNNNNNNNNNNNNNNNNNNNNNNNNNNNNNNNNNNNNNNNNNNNNNNNNNNNNNNNNNNNNNNNNNNNNNNNNNNNNNNNNNNNNNNNNNNNNNNNNNNNNNNNNNNNNNNNNNNNNNNNNNNNNNNNNNNNNNNNNNNNNNNNNNNNNNNNNNNNNNNNNNNNNNNNNNNNNNNNNNNNNNNNNNNNNNNNNNNNNNNNNNNNNNNNNNAUAUAUAUAUAUAUAUAUAUAUAUAUAUAUAUAUAUAAUGGAAUUGGUUGGUAUGAUAUUACAUUUGUAUUGAAAACAUUGUACCAAUACUAUACCAUGAUUACUCAAUUGGUAUUGGUAUUACCAAUCAUACAUUUUGGUUACCAAACAUAUUGGUUACAAAGAUAUUUGGUAUGGUUGGUAACGUGUUGGUUGGUUUUCCAUGGUACAUAUUGUCAGCCCUACUGAAUCCAACCCAUUCCCUUUUAGCCCAAACUUUUGAUCUAAUUAGUAAACAAGUAGCAAAAAGUAUUAUAAAGGAAUAAAUGAUUCUUCUUUUCUCCAAUGUCCCAUAGGGCAUUUUCCUUUAGAAAAGUUUCAAUUCCUAAUUGACUUAUAUUCAUGAAUCUUGAUUUGGUUGUUGGAAUACAAUAUAGUGGGCUUGGGGUGCGGUGCAUGGGAAUUCAGAUUAGUUGGGAAAAAGUUACUAUUUUAGGAG